rnacentral:rRNA from 1 species
UACGAGGGAUGCAAGCGUUAUCCGGAAUUAUUGGGCGUAAAGCGUUCGUAGGUGGUUAUGUAAGUCAGUUUUCAAAGAGUCCGGCUUAACCGGAUAAAGGGGAUUGAAACUGCGUGACUAGAGUUAGGUAGGGGUAAGAGGAAUUCCUAGUGUAGCGGUGAAAUGCGUAGAUAUUAGGAAGAACACCAGUGGCGAAAGCGUCUUACUGGGCCAUAACUGACACUGAGGGACGAAAGCUAGGGGAGCGAAAGGG